rnacentral:rRNA from 1 species
UACAGAGGUCUCAAGCGUUAAUCGGAAUCACUGGGCUUAAAGGGUGCGUAGGCGGACUCGCAAGUGCUUUGUGAAAUCCCACGGCUCAACCGUGGAACGGCUUGGCAGACUGCGGGUCUCGAGGUUGGUAGGGGCCGCCGGAACUCUAGGUGGAGCGGUGAAAUGCGUAGAUAUCGAGAGGAACAUCGGUGGCGAAGGCGGCCUUCUGGACGGUGACUGACGCUGAGAUGCGAAAGCGUGGGGAGCAAACAGG